rnacentral:rRNA from 1 species
AUUGAACGCUGGCGGCAGGCUUAACACAUGCAAGUCGAACGAGUGGCGGACGGGUGAGUAAUGCUUGGGAAUCUAGCUUAUGGAGGGGGAUAACUACGGGAAACUGUAGCUAAUACCGCGUACCAUAGGAUGAGCCCAAGUGGGAUUAGGUAGUUGGUGAGGUAAAGGCUCACCAAGCCGACGAUCUCUAGCUGGUCUGAGAGGAUGACCAGGCCACCUGGGACUGAGCAACCGCCCAGACUCCUUCGGGAGGCAGCAGUGGGGAAUAUUGCGCAAUGGGGGGAACCUGGCGGCACCAUGCCGCGUGAAUGAAGGAGGCCUUUGGGGUGUUAAAGUCUUUCCGUAGCGAGGCCUUAACUACAGAAGAAGCCCCGGCUAACUCCGUGCCAGCACCCCCGGUAAUAC